rnacentral:rRNA from 1 species
AGAGUUUGAUCCUGGCUCAGGAUGAACGCUAGCGACAGGCUUAACACAUGCAAGUCGAGGGGCAGCGAGGGCGUAGCAAUACGCCUGUCGGCGACCGGCGCACUGGUGAGUAACACGUAUGCGACCUGCCCCCUACAGGGGUAUAACCCGUAGAAAUGCGGACUAAUCCCCCAUAGUCCUGGAGGCUGCAUGGCUUUCAGGGGAAAGGUCAGCCGGUAGGGGAUGGGCAUGCGGCGCAUUAGCUAGUUGGCGGGGCAACGGCCCACCAAGGCGACGAUGCGUAGGGGUUCUGAGAGGAAGGUCCCCCACACUGGUACUGAGACACGGACCAGACUCCUACGGGAGGCAGCAGUGAGGAAUAUUGGUCAAUGGGCGCAGGCCUGAACCAGCCAAGUCGCGUGAGGGAAGACGGUCCUACGGAUUGUAAACCUCUUUUGUCGGGGAGUAACGUGCGGGACGCGUCCCGUAUUGAGAGUACCCGAAGAAAAAGCAUCGGCUAACUCCGUGCCAGCAGCCGCGGUAAUACGGAGGAUGCGAGCGUUAUCCGGAUUUAUUGGGUUUAAAGGGUGCGCAGGCGGCGCGCCAAGUCAGCGGUCAAAGUUCCGGGCUCAACCCGGUGUCGCCGUUGAAACUGGCGUGCUCGAGUGCGUGCGAGGAAGGCGGAAUGCGUUGUGUAGCGGUGAAAUGCAUAGAUAUGACGCAGAACUCCGAUUGCGAAGGCAGCUUUCCAGCGCGCUACUGACGCUGAGGCACGAAAGCGUGGGGAUCGAACAGGAUUAGAUACCCUGGUAGUCCACGCAGUAAACGAUGACUACUAGCUUUCCGGGAUGAUUGAGUCCUGGGAGGCACAGCGAAAGCGUUAAGUAGUCCACCUGGGGAGUACGCCGGCAACGGUGAAACUCAAAGGAAUUGACGGGGGCCC